AUUCACCUCAGUUCAUCUCACCAAGUAAGCAUUUUAUCAUCUCAUUAUCACCACAAAGCUCCUGAAAAGAUACAGGGUUGAAAGAAGCAAGCAAUUUCAGCUGCUGCCCAACACAGGAGAAAAAGUUUGGAGCCCAGCUAAGUUAAGUACCCUUAAUACCAAAAGUCAAUAUUCUUUCAGAGGAAGAUAACAGAAUUCAGUCUUUACACCAUAGCUCCCAAAAUGCACAGUGUAUGAGUCAAACUUACUAGAUCCGUAAUGAAACGGGGAAAUGUAACCACUAGUAAAGAGAAGAAACAGUCAACUGAAACCAAACCCACAGUAACCCAAAUUUAGAAUAAUCAGAAGACUAUUAUAAACUUUUUAAAACAUGUUUAAGGAUUUAAGAGAAAAUAUGGUCAUAAUAAAUGAACACACAGGUAAUCUAAGCAGAGAAUAAAACAAGGGAACAACAUGGAAAAUCCAGAACUAAAAAGUAUAAUAUCUGAAAUAAAAAAUUCACUGGAUGAACUUAACAGCAGACUGGUGAUGGGUCAGUGAACCUGAAGACAAAGAGAAAUUAUCCAAUCUGCAGGAAGAAAAAAAAAGAAAAAAGAAACUGCACCUCAGUGACCUCUUGGACAAUAUCAAGAAGUCUAAUGUGAAACUGGAAGAAAAGGAGAAUGGGACAGGAAAAAAGUGAUGAAAGAAAAAUAUAUCAAGCCAAGAUUCUAUAUCCAGUGAAAAUAUACUUCAAAAGAAGGACAGAAUAAAGAUAUUUGCAGAAUAAUGGAAACAAUAUUCAUCACUAGCAGACCUGUGCUAAGAGAAAUGCUACAGAAAGUUCUUCAGGCUCAAGGGAUGUAACGUGGAAAUCUGAAUCUAAAGUAGUAAAUGUCAAGAAGGGGCAGUUUUGUCCCACAGGGGACAUCAGGAAAUGUCUGGAGGCAUUUUUGUUUGUCACAAAUGGAGGUUGCUACUGGCACCUGAAUGCUACUGGAUAAACAUCCUGUUAAACAUCCGACCAAGCACAGGACAGCCUCCCAUAACAACAACAAAAAAA
ensembl:lncRNA novel transcript, antisense to SUCLA2